UGCUUUGCACCUUUCAAGCGAGUGGCGAACGGGUGAGUAACACGUGGAUAACCUGCCUCAAGGGCUGGGAUAACAUUUGGAAACAGAUGCUAAUACCGAAUAAAACUUAGUAUCGCAUGAUAUCAAGUUAAAAGGCGCUACGGCGUCACCUAGUAGAUGGAUCCGCGGUGCAUUAGUUAGUUGGUGGGGUAAAGGCUUACCAAGACGAUGAUGCAUAGCCGAGUUGAGAGACUGGUCGGCCACAUUGGGACUGAGACACGGCCCAAACUCC
rnacentral:rRNA from 1 species